GGUGGCUCAGUGGUAGAGCACUUGCUUUGCAUGCACGAGGCCCUGGGUUCAAUUCCUCAGCACCA
rnacentral:tRNA from 1 species